UACACACCGCCCGUCGCUACUACCGAUUGAAUGGCUCAGUGAGGCGUCCGGACUGGCCCAGAGAGGUGGGCAACUACCAUUCAGGGCCGGAAAGCUCUCCAAACUCGGUCAUUUAGAGGAAGUAAAAGUCGUAACAAGGUCUCCGUUGGUGAACCAGCGGAGGGAUCAUUACCGAGUUUACAACUCCCAAACCCAAUGUGAACCAUACCAAACUGUUGCCUCGGCGGGGUCACGCCCCGGGUGCGUCGCAGCCCCGGAACCAGGCGCCCGCCGGAGGGACCAACCAAACUCUUUCUGUAGUCCCCUCGCGGACGUUAUUUCUUACAGCUCUGAGCAAAAAUUCAAAAUGAAUCAAAACUUUCAACAACGGAUCUCUUGGUUCUGGCAUCGAUGAAGAACGCAGCGAAAUGCGAUAAGUAAUGUGAAUUGCAGAAUUCAGUGAAUCAUCGAAUCUUUGAACGCACAUUGCGCCCGCCAGUAUUCUGGCGGGCAUGCCUGUCCGAGCGUCAUUUCAACCCUCGAACCCCUCCGGGGGUCCGGCGUUGGGGAUCGGGAACCCCUAAGACGGGAUCCCGGCCCCGAAAUACAGUGGCGGUCUCGCCGCAGCCUCUCAUGCGCAGUAGUUUGCACAACUCGCACCGGGAGCGCGGCGCGUCCACGUCCGUAAAACACCCAACUUCUGAAAUGUUGACCUCGGAUCAGGUAGGAAUACCCGCUGAACUUAAGCAUAUCAAUAAGCGGAGGAAAAGAAACCAACAGGGAUUGCCCCAGUAACGGCGAGUGAAGCGGCAACAGCUCAAAUUUGAAAUCUGGCCCCUAGGGUCCGAGUUGUAAUUUGUAGAGGAUGCUUUUGGUGAGGUGCCGCCCGAGUUCCCUGGAACGGGACGCCGCAGAGGGUGAGAGCCCCGUCUGGCUGGCCACCGAGCCUCUGUAAAGCUCCUUCGACGAGUCGAGUAGUUUGGGAAUGCUGCUCAAAAUGGGAGGUAUAUGUCUUCUAAAGCUAAAUAUUGGCCAGAGACCGAUAGCGCACAAGUAGAGUGAUCGAAAGAUGAAAAGCACCUUGAAAAGAGGGUUAAACAGUACGUGAAAUUGUUGAAAGGGAAGCGCUUGUGACCAGACUUGGGCGCGGCGGAUCAUCCGGGGUUCUCCCCGGUGCACUUCGCCGCGUUCAGGCCAGCAUCAGUUCGGCGCGGGGGAAAAAGGCUUCGGGAACGUGGCUCCUCCGGGAGUGUUAUAGCCCGUUGCAUAAUACCCUGCGCUGGACUGAGGACCGCUCAUCUGCAAGGAUGCUGGCGUAAUGG
rnacentral:rRNA from 1 species